GACCAAUAGUGCUUACAGUGAAUGCCUGAUUCCCACCGUUUUGGUGAGAGUUGGGCAGCGGCCAGACAACCGUAGUGAUGGUAUCCACAGAUGGCGGGUUCAUUCUGUCCUGUUUUUCUACUGAUUCCAUCUCACAUUU